rnacentral:rRNA from 1 species
GACGAACGCUGGCGGCGUGCUUAACACAUGCAAGUCGAACGGAAAGGCCCUGCUUUUGUGGGGUGCUCGAGUGGCGAACGGGUGAGUAACACGUGAGUAACCUGCCCUUGACUUUGGGAUAACUUCAGGAAACUGGGGCUAAUACCGUAUAGGAGCUCCUGCUGCAUGGUGGGGGUUGGAAAGUUUCGGCGGUUGGGGUUGGACUCGCGGCUUAUCAGCUUGUUGGUUGGGGAGUGGUUUACCCAGGCUUUGACGGGUAGCCGGCCUGAGAGGGUGACCGGGCACAUGGGGACUGAGAGACGGAGCAGUCUGCAACGGGAGGCAGCAGUGGGGAGUAUUGCACAAUGGGCGGAAGCCUGAUGCAGCAACGCCGCGUGCGGGAUGACGGCCUUCGGGUUGUAAACAGCUUUCGCCUGUGACGAAGCGUGAGUGACGGUAAUGGGUAAAGAAGCACCGGCUAACUACGUG